GUUCUGGGAAAACUGUUGCGGGAGUACCAGGGCAGAAUGUGUCUUCUCACGCGCUUCAGCAAGUGCCCUACGGUGAAACUGGGGAAGAAAGAAGGACUUGGGGCUUUCUUGGAGAGAAGGCCUCAGUGGGAACAAAUCAAAGUCUCCAGGCCCUGAGAGAGUAUCUUAAGGAGAUGACAGCCCAAGCCUGUCACAUCAACUCACAAAAAUGCACAAUUUUCUCUCUGGGGGCACAAUGCCUCCUUGUUUUAUGAAGGUGGAGAACACUUUUGGCUCUCGAGGCCUCUCUUAGUCUUCUUCCACUCGGCCGUUCCCACCGAAUUCCCUGUACAAACUUCAGAAUUUUACAGUUGGGAAGUUCUUUUUCCUUUUUGUUAGGUAUACUUGCCCCCUUCAUGGAAGGAGUGAUCCCCGCACCUGGCUGAUCACCUGUGGAGCUUUUAUGGUUAAUACAGGUACCUGGACCUGAAUCAGUAUUCUGAUCAUGUCCUUUUCUUGGGUGAAUCCCAUCAUUUGCAAGUUUGUGAUUCUCUGGAUCAGAUGGAGGGGUGCAGUGGCUGAGAAUUAGAAACUCCAUCCUCCUCAUUGACCAAAUAAAGGAGCUGUGGCCCAGAGAUACCGGAAAAUUUGACAGUGGCUGCUGAAAACUAUGACUUUGUAAGUGCAACUCAAGAUUUAUUCUUUUUACGAAACCUCCCGUGACCGCAGUCUGCCUUCAUCAUCAAGCGACUAAUAUUUGUAGAACGAGGAUCACAAAGCAGCAGUGACCCGAGGGGCAAGUUAGCUCUCUGCGUGGAGCUUGCAGUCUAAAGGAGACUCCCCCAGAAGAUGAAUCUCACCGAACGUUCCUGUUUUUCCCACUCCUGUUUUCUCCCUAACUUCCGGCCAGGAUUGCUGGGAGUGGGUUCUUGGUUGGGUCACCUACGAGAAGGGCAGUGUGGGUUUUGGAUUCUCAGAGACCAGUGUUCAAAUCUCUGCUUUGUCAUUUACAACCUGUGGGACUUGGAGAAGUUUAUCUUGAGGCCCAGUUUCUUCUGCAAGGGUAAAUAUUACUACCCACUUAAACAAAUAAGGAAAAUGAGGCUCAGAGAAGUGAAAUAACUUUUCAAAGUCACUGGGCCG